rnacentral:tRNA from 1 species
AUAUGCCCUUUGAACUGGUCAUUUCGCCGCCGGCGAGUCCGCCGAUAGACGCAAUGCACAACCACAGUUCACCGACCUCUGCCGCCCCACGGCGGAGUCCUGGUCGACCGGCACGAGCCGUCCUGCCGUCGAGUCGGGCCACGCGUCUCUAUCGAGCUCUCCCUCUCCUUCCUCGUCCACUCCUGCCGCAUACACCCCGCUCGACCGGCACCGCACGGGCCUGGGUGUACUGCAGGCCUUCAUCCACGGCGGGCCGCGUUCAGGGUCCUGCACUCGAGGGCGGAAGCGGUGGCGUCCGGCGCGCGGCGACAGCAGGGGAUGGUGCAGGCGCAUGCCGCCCGAGCUCGAGAAGGAGGCUCGCCAGCCGCAGGUCAGAGCCCCCACUGAGACCCUGCACCCCCAUUGCCUAUGUGCCAUGCUCCGCCCUCUCAGUCGCCUCAGGCAGCGGCAUUCCACAAUGCGGUGCGGUGACUCUUCACACCGGCGUCGGCAGGACUCGAUGGUGCGACUCGGGGUGUCCCCGUUACGCUUCCGGCGUCUGCGCCUCAUCGGCCCACCCGGUCGGGAUGUAGGAGAUGCCGCGUGUGCCACACCCAUGCGCGCUGGGGCUGAUUCGUAUGGAUCGCUUCACGCCCCGCUCGUCCAUCACUCGCGCCCCUCCGACCCCUGCAUGUCCUGCUGGGAUGCACCAUGCCAGCUACCGCUGGCAGCGCGUGUGCAGUGCCCGCAUUUUCGGAUCCCGGGGCCGGCUUCAGGACGGCGUUGUUGCCUGGGGGCGUGUGUCUGGAUGGCUUGCUCGCAUGUGCCGCGACAGGCGGGACGCUGCUGUGAGUCUGUGUGGCGGGCAGGGGCAUUCCGCCCUCUCCUGAAUCCGCGGGCCUUUGGGCGGGAGUGCGUGCGUGAGCUGGAAGGGGCCCUUGGAGCCACAUUCGCCUGCACACAAGGAACUUAAAGCGUGUCGCUCUGAGCCGGGGCAGGGGGCGGGGGCGGCUGCGCUAGACACCCGGCGGGGGAGACGUGCGUAAUGAGGUCAUCGGGGACCACACCAUAGCGUGUAACAGUGUGCCCUUUGAGGCUCGAAUGACGUGCGGACAUUGUGUAGCACAUAGGGCCAAACGCCUUUACGGGUACACUUUUAGCGCGGGCUAUGGUGGCGGUACCGCCUCGCCAGCGGAACAUUAGGCAAAACGUCACCUGCACUCCAUAUUCUCACUCCCGGGGACCCUUCCGCUGGAUAAAUCCAAGGUGCCGAGAGGCUCCCGCUUGGAACUGGAUGAUGAUAUCUUCCUUUCGCCUCGCUUUUCGCGGUUGAUGAGGAAUGUCGGCCUGGCGUGUGGGACCGGCGACCGAGUCCGCGGGCACUGCAUUUAAUGCCUCCGCCCCAGCCGCGGCGGACUCGACGAGCUUGUCAGCCGCGCCGCCCAUUCAUGGUCGGUGUGUUGUUGUCAACUGGAGACCAACUCACAGUUGGUCUAAGGCUCUCAUAGCUCAGUCGGUUAGAGCGUGGGUCUAAUAAGCCCAAGGUCACAGGUUCGACCCCUGUUGGGAGCACUUUUUCCCGUCCCCGACAAAUAAUAAGGACGGCCGGCCUGUUGGCGGGGGGGGGGUGGCGCGG